GACCCUGUCGUCUAGUGGCCAAGGACGUCAGGAUUUCCUCCUGAAAACGGAUGUUCAAAUCAUCCCGGGGUCGCCA
rnacentral:tRNA from 2 species